UCCCGUUACUCAGUAGAAAGUUUU
rnacentral:snRNA from 1 species